CGAACAUAAAAACAGAGCACAGAUGAACACGGAUCUAGUUCAUACGAUCACAUUAAUAGCAUAGCAGAUUCAUAUAACCAACUCAACAGAUUUUGUCCGAUCUAUAGAAGACACAACCGCCAACAUGAAAUUAUUACGCUCGCUCAACCUCCUCACAGAAGCAUCACACGGACUCAGCAGCCUUCACCGACUCGAUCCAGCACAUGUGAAAGCAGCACCUAGGAGCUGGGAGAUGGAGGGCUUGGGCUCGGAGUUCAUGCCGAUGACGAUGACGAGCGGGAUGAAGCCGUAGUGCGCCGCCACCUUGGCCGUCUUCAUCGUCCACGUGGUCCACUCCUUGACGAGCCGCACCGCGGUCGCCGCCCUGGUGGCCUCCCCGCACCUAGCUGCUUUCACAUGUGCUGGAUCGAGUCGGUGAAGGUUGCUGAGUCCGUGUGAUGAUUCUGUGAGGAGGUUGAGCGAGCGUAAUAAUUUCAUGUUGGCGGUUGUGUCUUCUAUAGAUCGGACAAAAUCUGUUGAGUUGGUUAUAUGAAUCUGCUAUGCUAUUAAUGUGAUCGUAUGAACUAGAUCCGUGUUCAUCUGUGCUCUGUUUUUAUGUUCAUCCUGUUAGAAUUGAUCUCCCUGGACCAUCAGACCCCAACGGGCCCGAUGGGCCAGCUCACCUCUGCGCCCUGAUCGGGGGCGUCCCAGCUGAUCUCUAGCUGGUGGGCCCCCGUCGCGCCGCGCUAUAAAAGGACAGGUGGGGCCAGCGGCUCGGAUCACGAGAAUCACCGGCCGCCGCCACCCCACCCACAGUUAACCCUAGCCGAUCUAGUCUGCGCGCGGUCAGCGGCGGGAAGCUCCUCCGGCCACCUUCGACGCUCUCUGCUUCGACCCUGACGCCGUGAACGCGACCUCACCUUCGGCCACCACGAGCACGAACGCCUUCGGACCGACCACCGCGACUUCCCGCACUACACCACCAUGGCGGGCACAUCUGUAUCAGCCGGCGCCCAAGGGCACGAAGGUAUACCCGUGCCCUUCCCCUGUCUAUCUCUCUAUCCCUCUCUGUUGCUCGAUUAAGUCGAUUGCACAGAGCAUCUUCUAAUCUAAUCGCGCACUAGCCGAUCCAUAUUGUUAACAUUGGUAUCAGUCGCCUUAGCUAAUUGCGUUGAUUAGCAUUGGAAGAUUAAGAGGAAAAGAACCCAGAAAAGAUCCAAGAUAGAUUCCCAGAGCACACCCCGCGAUCCUAACCCUAACCCUAGACCACACACACUUACCUGGUCUUCCUUGCGCUGCCCACCGUCGGCGUGCGUGGGACGCCGGCGAGCCGACCAGAUCCCGCGAGGCCUUGCGCCUCGCGCGGACAGAGGCUGUGCGAGCACGCCGCAAGGCCGCUCGCCGCGCCACAGAUCCGGGCACCACGGUGAAGCCCCUCGACGGCCGCGCGCUCACCUUGCGGUGAACGCGCGCGCCGGCGAGGGCGCUCGCCGUGGCGCCGCUCGGUUGCCGCCGGUCGCCGUGCUCUCACUCUCGCUCGGGGUGGAGAAGAAGCAGGCGUCGGGGGAAGGGAAGAAGUGAGCUAGGGUUUUGGAGGCGGGACGGCGAGGGGUUUUUGUUCCGCCGAGACGCGCGCGCGGCCGUCGAUCGUGAUCGGACGGUCGAGGUCGAUCCGCGCACUACCGGGCCUCUUUUGGCCCAGGCGGGAAGGGAAAAAGGCGGCCCGGGCCCAGGUUGUCUCGCCCGAAAGCGCGAGCGCCCGCGCGGGGGUGCGCGAGGGGACGCGGGCCGGGCCUUAGCAGGCCGCGCGCGCGCGUGAGCCCGGUUUUAUGCUGGGCCUCGCGGAAGGAGUGGGCCGGCUGGGCCGCUUGCAACAGAAAGCGCAGUGCAUUGUUUUUUAAAUUUCCAGAAGUCAUUUUUCAAUAGAAUUUGCUUGAAUUUGAUGCAUUUCAAAUUCAAACUUGAUUGAACUUUGAUGCACUGCUUAUACAAGAUAAAUUUAGACACUUUUUUGAUAGAUUUACAGUUUUCCGCUGCAAAGUUUGAAUAGUUUCAUAUGCUAUUGUUUACUUGUCUUGUAAUUUAAAUUUGAACCAACGGGAUAAUUUAAAUUCUUCAAGGCAAAUAGAUAUUUUUCUGAGUUGUAAUAUUGUUAUCCUUUGACCAAUGUUAACAAGUGACAAUAUUGCAAUUUCUAAUGCAUUACCUUUAAUAGAUAUUUUUCAUGUAUUAUAUCUAUUUAUGCCCAACGGUAUUCUAGAUUUAAUACAAAAGAGAUUAUGCCUUAAUUUUUCAUAGAUAAUUUUCAUGUAUUAAUUCUAACUCUGCCCAACGGUGUUUUAGAUUUAAUACACAAGGUUAUUGCAUAUUUUAAUUCAUGACCAACGUCGUAUUUAUACAUAUGCAAUAACUUAUUUGACUUUAUUUUAAUGUUUUCACCACUCAUGAAUAUUUUCAGGAGGAUUAUCAAUGAUGAUUUCCAUCAACGAUAUUCCUAUAUUAAAGGGAGACAAUUACAAUGAAUGGUACAGAAAGCUGGACCUCUAUUUCAUCAUGGGUGAAUUGGAUUGGGUCCUAACUACACCGACUCCCAAAGAGCCUGUGCCUCCUGAGAGAGAGGACACAGACACAGAUGCUUCUUGGAAGCAAACAGAGCUUGCUUAUAAGAAAGUAAGAGCAGACUAUGAGAGACUUUAGGCAAAAUGGUUCCCUGCCAACAAGAAGUGCUUGGCAGUAGUAAAGAACACGAUUGAGCCUGCAAUUAUGGGCUCGAUCCCAGACUGUGCCACUGUUAUAGAGUAUCUUGAAAAAUUAAAGAACCAGUACAUCGGUUCUUCAAAAACUUAUGCAACCCAGUUGAUUAAACAACUGGUUUCAGAAAGAUACACUGGCGGUGGCAUUAGAGAACACAUUCAUCGCAUGGUCAACCAGAACAACAAGCUUAAGUCAUUGGACCUUGCCUUCAAGGAGGAUCACAUUGUCCAUCUGGUUUUUGCUUCGUUGCCAAAAGAAUUUGACACUUUUGUUGUCAAUUACAACACCCAACCACAAACUUGGAAUAUAGAAAAGACUAUUGCGAUGUGUGUUUAGGAGGAGGAAAGGAUAAGGUCCACCACUGGCGGAUCCUUAAACUAUGUGAACAAGAAGAAGCAUGCCAACUUUAAAGGCAAUUUUUCAUCUUCUUCUUCAUUCUCCUCUAAAAAAAAAGCUCUCAACAAGACAGACCUCAAGAAGGAUAGGUUCUAGUUGAUAAGGACCAAUGCCUCUACUGUAAGGAAAAGGGACACUACAAGAAGAACUGUCACAAAUAUCUAAAGAUGAUCAUGGAAAAGAGAGGUGAGAACAUUAUUUCUUUUGUAAAUGAAUCCUUGUAUAUAGAAUAUUCAAAAACCACUUGGUGGAUUGAUUCAGGAGCAACUGUUCAUGUUGCAAAUUCAUUGCAGGGAUUCCAUUCGACGAGAACCACUCAAAGAAGCGAAAAGCAAGUUAGAGUGGCAAAUGGAGCUCAGGCAGACGUUGAAGCAGUGGGAGACGUUCAUUUGGAACUCGACACUGGCUUCAUUAUAGUCCUUAGGGAUGUUUUAUAUGUACCGUCUUUACACAGAAACUUAAUUAGUGUGUCUCACCUGGACAAAGAUGGUUAUUCCUGUCUAUUUGGAGAUGGCAGGUGUUUGAUCGAAUGUAAUGAUAUAGUUAUUUCCAUUGCAUUCAGAAAGAAUGAUCUUUAUUUGAUAUCGUUACGCGACAGUGUGAAUUCCGUAUGUGAUAACAAUGCGAAUGUAUCCUCGUCUACACUCGCGAAUAGAAAACGAAAGAGAACUCAAGAUGCGUCGUCGAAAUUAUGGCACUGUCGUUUAGGCCAUAUUUCGAGGGGGAGAAUAGAGAGAUUAAUUAAAACCGAAAUUCUUCCUCCAUUAGAGUUCUCCGACUUAGAAUAAUGCAUUGAAUGCAUAAAAGGCAAAUUCGUUAAGAAAAUAAAGAAAAAUGCUAAGAGGAGCACAGAUGUAUUAGAAAUAAUUCACACAGAUAUCUGUGGUCCGUUUAAUGUAAAGAGUGUGGAUGGUUAUGACUCGUUCAUAACAUUCACAGACGAUUAUUCCCGUUAUGGAUACAUUUAUCCAAUUAAAGAAAGAUCGGAGGCUUUGGAUAAAUUUAAAAUAUUCAAGGCCGAAGUAGAAAAUCAACACGAUUUAAAGAUUAAAAUCGUAAGAUCCGAUCGUGGAGGGGAAUACUACGGCCGACAUACCCAAUAUGGCCAAGUCCUAGGACCUUUUGCAAAGUUCCUGAUGGAGCAAGGCAUAGUAGCCCAGUACUCGAUGCCGGGCGAACCUCAGCAGAACGGAGUGGCUGAAAGACGCAAUCGUACCUUGAUGGAUAUGGUGCGAAGCAUGAUCAGUUACUCUACAUUGCCAGUGAAUUUAUGGAUGGAGGCUCUGAAAAUCGCCAUUCAUAUUCUCAACAGAGUUCCAAGUAAAUCGGUGCCGAAAACACCGUAUGAGAUGUGGACAGGAAGAGUACCCUCACUGAAUCAUCUGCGGGUGUAGGGGAGUCCUGCUGAGGCAAAAGUGUUUAACCCGACUAUUGCAAAACUAGAUUCCAAAACAGUAUCUUGCCAUUUUAUUGGCUAUCCAGAAAGGUCAAAGAGUUUUCAUUUCUACUGCCCAGACAGAUCCACAAAAUUUGUAGAAACGAGACACGCAGUCUUCCUUGAAGAUCAAAUGAUCCGGGGGAGCGGCACAGCAAGGAAGAUUGAUCUUGAGGAGAAGCGGGUGUAUACACCCAAUCCUGUGAUUCAGGAAUCUUUCUUCCCGCUGCCCGCUGUGUCUGCAUCGCCAGUGCAAGUCACUGCGAUGCCAACACCUGUAGUAGCUCCUUCUGUGGUGACGAUGAAUGAGGAAGUGGAACCUAUUCAUCAGGCUCGUGACGAGCACAUUGCCGCACAAGAAGAGGAGCAACAGCAGCCCCAAAUAGAUGAGGCACCGCAGGCUCAGGCUCAUGGGAGACCUCAAAGAACAAGGAAGUGCGCUAUUUCUGACGACUAUGAAGUCUAUAAUAGCGAAGAAAUUCAAAUGGAGGAUGAUCCCACUUCAUUUGAAGAAGCCAUGAGAAGUGAACACUCAUCGAAAUGGCUUGAUGCCAUGGAAGAUGAAAUAAAAUCGAUGAGUACCAACAAAGUGUGGGACUUAGAGGAAAUUCUUAAAGGAGCCAAAACAGUAGGCUGCAAAUGGGUCUACAAAAUUAAACAUGACUCCCAAGGGAAUAUAGAUAAAUUUAAAGCACGACUCGUGGCAAAAGGUUACACACAAAGAGAAGGAAUUGAUUACAAUAAGACUUUUUCCCCAGUCUCAUGUAAAGAUUCUUUCAGAAUCAUAAUGGCUCUUGUAGCUCAUUAUGAUCUAAAAUUACAUCAGAUGGAUGUGAAGAUAGCAUUCCUGAACGGGGAUCUAGAUGAAACCGUCUACAUGGCACAGCCGAAAGGUUUUGUCGUGGAAGGUAAAGAAAAAUUGGGAUGCCGCCUGAAGAAAUCGAUUUAUGGGCUAAAGCAAGCUUCAAGACAGUGGUACUUGAAGUUCGAUAAAACAAUAAAGGAAUUCGGGUUUAAAGAAAAUGUUGAGGAUAAUUGCGUUUACGCAAAGUUCAAGAAUGGGAAGUAUGUCUUCCUAAUCCUGUAUGUGGACGACAUUCUACUAGCAAGUAGUGAUGUCAGUCUGCUACUAGAAACGAAAAAGUUUUUAUCCUCGUAUUUCGAGAUGAAAGAUCUUGGUGAAGCAAGAUUCGUUCUAGGAAUCGAGAUUCAUCGAGACAGAUUGAAAGAGGUAUUAGGACUAUCUCAAAAGACAUAUAUAGAAAAGGUCCUAAAGAAAUUCAACAUGCAUAAAUGCAGUGCCUCACCUGCACCUAUAGUUAAGGGCGACAGAUAUGGGGAAUUUCAAUGCCCCAAGACUCAAUAUGAAAUCGAUCAAAUGAAAAUAGUACCAUAUGCUUCUGCUGUGGGAAGCUUACAGUAUGCACAAGUCUGCACACGCCCUGAUAUAGCUUACGUUACCGGGUUGCUUGGCAGAUUCCAGAGUAAUCCAGGACCAGAACACUGGAAGUUAGUAAAGAAAGUUCUGCGCUAUUUGCAAGGAACAAAAGGCCUCAUGUUAACAUACAGAAAAAUAGAAUCUCUGCGUAUCGUAGGAUACUCAGACUCCGAUUAUGCAGGAGAUGAUAGAAAAUCCACGUCUGGAUAUGUGUUCACCCUUGCCGGGGGAGCAAUAUCGUGGAAAACUUGCAAACAAACCGUCACUACAUCGUCCACAAUGUAUGCCGAGUUUGUUGUAUGUUAUGAGGCUACAGGGCAGGUGAACUGGCUAAGGAAGUUCGUACCCGGUCUGAGAAUGGUUGAUGAUAUAUCUAAACCAUUACAGCUGUACUGCGAUAGUGAGCCCGCAGUAAUGUAUGCUCACAACAAGAAGACAAGUGGUGCUGCCAAACACAUAGAUAUAAAGUAUUAUGUUGUGAAAGAUAAAGUCCGAGAUCAGAUUAUAAAUCUCGAGCAUAUAAGCUCAGUGAAAAUGCUUGCGGAUCCGCUAACGAAAGGCUUACCACCCAGCGUGUUCAAGGAACACGUAGCCGGCAUGGGGCUAAGGGAUAGCCUGUGAUCUUCGGACUAAAAGGGCCCAAACGGUUAAAGAAUCCGUCUCUGAAUGGAAGCGUGAAUUGUAGCUGCUAAAUCUAUCGACAGAUGAUCGUGAUGAUGAGGCAUGCUCUAUACACAAAUCUAUGACCAAAUGCGAAAAAGUAAAAGUAAAAGAAUAGUACAGGGUGAGAUCAAGGGGGAGAUUGUUAGAAUUGAUCUCCCUGGACCAUCGGACCCCAACGGGCCCGAUGGGCCAGCUCACCUCUGCGCCCUGAUCGGGAGCGUCCCAGCUGAUCUCUAGCUGGUGGGCCCCCGUCGCGCCGCGCUAUAAAAGGACAAGUGGGGGCCAGCGGCUCGGAUCACGAGAAUCACCGGCCGCCGCCACCCCACCCACAGUUAACCCUAGCCGAUCUAGUCUGCGCGCGAUCAGCGGCGGGAAGCUCCUCCGGCCACCUUCGACGCUCUCUGCUUCGACCCUGACGCCGUGAACGCGACCUCACCUUCGGCCACCGCGAGCACGAACGCCUUCGGACCGACCACCGCGACUUCCCGCACUACACCACCAUGGCGGGCACAUCUGCAUCAGCCGGCGCCCAAGGGCACGAAGGUAUACCCGUGCCCUUCCCCUGUCUAUCUCUCUAUCCCUCUCUGUUACUCGAUUAAGUCGAUUGCACGGAGUAUCUUCUAAUCUAAUCGCGCACUAGCUGAUCCAUAUUGUUAACACGUCCAUCCUGUGCCUGAUGUUCUGAUUGAACAGCAAGUAAGAGGCGAACUAUCUGCCGUGUUGUGGAAUCUGGCUAGUUCUAUCAUACAACUGGAGGGGUCAGAGUUUUCGAUGUGAAAUCGGCGUUUGUAUGUGAUUGACUAGUUGGUAGUUUUUGUGUUCAUGCGUGCUUAUGAAUUGUGGUCGCCUUCAUUUCCAAAGCUGAGAGCCUGACGGUGAUUUCAGAGAGGAUUCCCUGUAGUAUGCAGUCUAGCUGGUUAUUUGUUUCUCAUAUUUCCAAGCAACAACUGAUGAAUAUUGUUUGCAAACCGGUUCAAAAGAAGUGUAUAUGCGUUAUUUGUUCUCAAAACGUUUAUAUAUAUGAGAGACAUUCGUCGCGUGUGCAUUGCCUUUCUCUGGAUUUAUAUCAUCAUAUACUAAUGUAAUUGAGUCUGACUGAUGCGUAUAGGUAGGAAGGAAGCAGCGCCCUUUUCCUUUAUCUAAAAAAUAAUACCUGCUGAACCUCUCGUCAUCACACAAUUUGAUCGGUUAAUCAGUGCUUAAUGCGGCCUAUAUCCUAUUGUUAAAGCAAAAGAUGUUGUAUAAAUUCAAACAGAAGAACUUCAGCUGAAUUACAAACCCAUGCAUAUCGAUCUCUUCCGUAAUACUUCAGAGCGUACUCCGAACACACUCUGGCACUCAUAAAAUGCCCGGCACUCAGAAAGAAUCAAAAGAGAGGUGAACAAACACACAGACCACGCAAUACAAACUCAAAGAGCGAGCAGUAAUAUAUAUGCAAGCGAAUCAAUGGCCGGAUCCAGGUGAACCUGCAGCCCGCUUAGUACGAUCGCCACCUUCGCCCUGACCACCAUCCGGCAUGGGCUUCCGGGAUACGCCAGUGUGCGUGGUCAGUGCCCAGAGCACGGUGAUGAACUCGCCUCCCUCCACCAGCGCGUUCUCAUGCCCCUUCAUGCGUUCCUCGUCCGUCGAUGGUGCCAGGUAGAUCAUAAUCACUACGGGAAACGGUUACUUUGCCGAGUGUCAAAAACACUCGGCAAAACUCCAAAAACACUUGGCAAAGGCUUUGCCGAGUGUUGCACUCGGCAAAGGACACACGGAAGAGAAAAUAUCGGCAAAAGGGACUUUGCCGAGUGCAUUUCGUCGGGCACUCGGCAAAACCUUUGCCGAGCGCAAAGUCCCGCACUCGGUAAAUUUUAAGCGCCGUGACGGAGCAGGAACAUAACUGACGAUUUGCCGAGUGCCUGGUCCUUGGCACUCGACAAAGAAAUAAUCUUUGCCGAGUGCCGGCGCUGAGGCACUCGGCAAAGAUUGUUACUUUGCCGAGUGCCAGAUGCCUAGCACUCGGCAAAUAUUAUUUCUUUGCCGAGUGCCAAGGACCUGACACUCGGCAAAGAUUCUUCAGAUUUUGCCGAGUGCAAACACUCGGCAAAGUGACCAGAAUUACCCAUUUUAAUCUGUUUUUUCUAUUUCAUCCACGCAUAUAUAUCAGAAAAAUAUAUAUCAUCACAAAGACCACCAACAUCACAUCUAUAUCACAAACAUCACAUCUAUAUACAAACACAAUCGAUUCACAUACAUAUCCCAAAUCGGUUCACAAACGUAUUAUCAUUACAGACCAUAAAUAUGUCACAAAUAUGCAUGUCUCACAAUAUAGUCCAUAUAAUCAUGAGAUGUCAAAAAACAUGAGAAGUCUACAGAAACAGGAUAAGUGACAAAAAUCAUCAUCAAGACCUCCAACCCGGCGACCUCCAACCCGACGUAAUUGGAGAAACAUGAGGGUCAUUUGAGGCCGCCGAUUGAUUCUGCAAAAAGGAGAAGCGAUCGCAUGUGUGAGACAAGAUAAAUGAAGGUCAGACAUGGCUAAAACUUAUCCAUACUCACAGGAGUAGAAAACUCAGCAGGAGGUCGAGGUGAAGCGAACAACAAAGGUGGUGGAGCUACACCCGCUGCGGCCCCAAGAGUCUGCAUGUAGGCAAACAUAUCCCUCAUCCUGUGCUCGUUCUCCACACGUAGCCUCCUCUCUUCUUCUAAUUGGGCUUGCAAAAUUUUCACUCCAAUGUUAUGAUAAUACAAAGAAAUUGUAUACAAUAAUCAAUGAACGACGAAUAAAGAAGAAAUGCCCUGGAGUGCCUGUAUCCGGUACUGUGAAGUGUCUUGCCGAGGUCGUAUGCCUGGUCUCGCACUCGUGCUCCUUGCUCUAAUCUAAGAUAGAAUAGGAGUAGAGGACGAGUCGACUACGCCGUCGGCAAUCCAAUACCGCCCAUGAUUCUUUCCUCCUCCAACCCUCAUGAUGACUUCUCCGUCAAGGUCCUCGGUGGCCGGAUCAAACUGUGGACCAUGGACCUCCCUUGCCAUCGUUGUGUACGCACUGAGGCGGGUAUGGACCAUCGGGUUGCUGUAUGCCUCGGGCCCGUCCUCCGGAUUGUAGUUGACGUCAGACGUCGUCUUGUCCUUGUGGGACAUAGCAUAUGCCUUCAAGAGGGAGCAAGGCUGGCCACCAUGUGACGACGACUGCAAGAAAACAAGCAAGAUGAUUAGAAAUCAUUCAUAAUUGAGUGUUACAUUAAAUAAAUUCAUUCGCGUACCCAUGCUUCUGCGUAUCCGCUGAGGCUGCGACUGCCUUGAUGGUGUGUUGCACCUGGCAUCAUCAAACGCCGCUCCUGACAAGCAUUGUGCGACUCCUCCCACUCGUCGGAGCACCACUUGUGCACCAUCUGUCGCCAGCACUCUUGAUGCCCGGGGCACCAAUAAGGAGUCGUCUACAGGGCAUCAAGUAUUUGAUAUAUUAGAAGAUGAAAUUAAACCUGCUUAAUGUAAAAAAGAAUGCACAUUAAUUUUCUUUAUUUACCUGCAAGUACUGCUCCUCAGUCAAAGACAUGGUUCUUGCUUCCGUUUUGGUGACCUUCUCUCCAAGAACGGUGGCGUGAAAACUAAUAAUGGCCUGGAUACGCGCCUCAUAGUGCAUAUCCACGACUCGUUUCUUACAGACUUUGGUAGCCACCACAUCAGCUUUGUCCUCAAAUCCAUCCUCACAUCUGAAGAAAUCCUGCAUGCAAACACGAUGUAUACCAUUCAUUUUUUUAAGAAUGUGAAAUGAAUGCAAUGUAUUUAGCACUUACCCACAGCUCUUGUUUUACCUGCUCCGCCUUGUUGUUGAAUACCCUACCAUCCCGAUCUUCAGCACCAGGGGCGGCGGCGUAGUGGUCGAACCUAUAGGCCGGCUCCGUCACUCCACCGUACUCAACCAGGCCAGGGAAGUGUUCCCUACACAGAAGACCGAGGAUGCCAUUGACGGAGUGUUUGUGAGCAGCACCUGCACUCUGCACAAUCGUCCAGGACCUGCACAAAUGAUUAAGACCUCUUAAUAGUUUUAACUUUGAAUUUGAACAUAUAACAAGAAGAAGAAAUGGAAAUAUGAAAAGUUACUUACUUUUCCCCUUCGGGUCGAAUCAACGGGCGCCUCUCACGAGGUAUCGGUCGCUUAGGGAGACUGGCGGGACCUGUACAUGUGAUUAAGAAAAAUUAUUAGUUUCAACUUUAAUUUUGAACAUAUAACAUAAAGAAGCAAUGAAAAUAUAUAAAUGUUCUUACCUCGCAAGUAGACGCUCGAUGAACCAGAGGCACCAGAACCAGAGGCGGUCUGCUGCGCCUCGUCCUCCUCCUGCACCUCCUCAUCCUCCUCCUGCGCCACAUGCACCUCCUCCUCCGUGUCAUCUUGCUGCCCCACCUGCACCUCCUCCUCCUCCGCCUCCUGCGGGGGCACCUGCGUCGUCCCCCUCCUCCUCCCCCUCCUCCUCUCAGACGACCUAGAUGUAGUUGACCAAGUCCUCUGGUAAAGCGACCUAACACUCCUCAACCCACCGCCUACCAUCUUUGUUCAAUCACCUGCAAUUAAGAAGAGUAAAGUAAUAAGUACAGAUAAACAAGACGUACUUAGAAAGAGAUGCAAAAUAAAUUAAAUAUAAAUGCAUAAUAAUAUAGUAUUACAUUGAUUAAAAAUAAUCUUCAUAAUCGGAAUUAGCUGGAUCAUAAGUCUCAUCAUCACUAUCAAUCAAAUCAUAAUCAACAUUAUUCGAAGGAUCAACGUCGUCAUUGGCAUUGCCUAAAUAUAAUCGUUCUAGCAUUUGUAAGUCUUUCACAUUUUGGAUCUCAUCCUCCUCCUCAUCAACAACCGUUUCAACAUCCAUUUUGUCCGCUUCAGUUAAGUCUAUCUCAAAUCGCCCUUCUAGCCCCUCUUCUUGAAAGAACUCUCCGUCAUAUGUGUUUGGGUCUAAGUUGUAGUCUUCAUCGUUUGGAACAGGUACUUUACUGUGCGGUGAUACCUUGUGCACAACAUACCAACCCUUAAGAUGCUCUUUAGUUUGGCACGCAUAUGGGAGAUAAUAAACUUGUAUGGCCUGUUGGGCCACAAUAUAGACAUCGUCUCCAGGGAAGACGGAAUCCUAUCGAAUUUCCACUAGCCCAAGAUUAGAAUAUGUCUGUCUUGUUACUUCAGGAUUAAACCAAUGACAUUUGAAUAUGACAGGAUUAAGAGGUUUGCAACCAUAAAAACUGACUUCUUAUAUUUGUUCAAUUCUUCCAUAAUGCUCGAUCCCAUCAAGGCCAGGAGUAAAAACUCCAGUAUUUGUGGUCUUUCGAUUGGGUCGACUUGCCUCGUAGCUUGCUGUACAAAAACGAUAUCCAUUCAUGUCAUAAACAGAAUAUGACCUGACCCUAAGGGCAAAGCCAUUGGCAACCUGUCUCAACUCAACAUUCAUCGUAUGGCCCUGCAUGUUCAAGCACGAUAGAUCAUUUUAUUAUUCGCAUAUGGGAGCAACUUCGAAUGACAAAGUAAGUACAAGCUAGAUUGGAUGGUUACCUGCUGUUUGAACCAAUGAAUGAAAUCGGACAAUCCAUUUCCAGCACCCUGGCUAAAAAGGGUAUCACAUUCCUGUUGGGUAGGUUCCCUUGAUCGACGCCAGAAUUCAUGAAUAAAUUGCUUCAUGUACGGCACCACCUCGUCAAGGUUGGUCAACACAUAUAGCAUUAUCUGGCGCCACUCUUGAUGUGUCAAUGUCUUGGUGGUCGAACCACUUGCACUUCCGAGUUGCCCUAGGAAAAGGCUGAGGUUCGAUUCAUUUUCACUAGCAUUGUAACGAGGGGGUGGAUUGUGCACACUAGGGAGGUUGUCACCAUAGUAUGUUGUUAGUGAAGUUCGACACCUCCUCCAGAAUGUAUGCCUCUGCAAUGGAGGCCUCGAUUUUACAUUUAUUUCCACAUUUCUUCCGAAGAACCUUUAGAGACCUCUCGAUUGGAUAGCACCAACGACCCUGAACGGGCCCCCCAUUCGUGCCUCAUACGGGAGGUACAAUAUCAUAUGCUCCAUCGGAUUGAAGAAGCCGGGUGGAAAGAUCUUCUCCAACUUACAGAGCAAUGCCGGUGCAAUUUUCUCCAAGUCUGCCACCAUGGUCCGAGAUAACUCCUUGGCACAAAGCUGGCGGAAGAAAUAGCUCAACUCUGCAAGCACUAGUCAGACAUGCUCAGGGACAAAGCCUCGAACCAUCGCCGGAAGAAGCCGCUCAAUCCAUAUGUGGUAGUCAUGACUCUUCAUCCCUAAGACUCGCAUAGUAGAUAAGUUGACCCCCUACUCAGAUUAGCUGCAUACCCAUCAGGGAACAUCAACCUCUUGAUCCAUUAUAGUACUUCCCUCCUUUGGGGCUUGCUCAAUACGAAAUCGGCCUUAGGCCUUCUCCAUAUCUUUCCGCGAUCAGGAGGCUUCAUCUCUAGGUUUGGUCUAUCGCAUAACGUUGCUAAAUCCACUCUAGCCUUAACAUUGUCCUUUGUCUUACUGGGAAUGUCCAUGAUUGUUGCCCAAAGUGCCUCAGUGACAUUCUUUUCAGUGUGCAUCACAUCAAUAUUGUGUGGAAGGAGAAGAUCAUCAUAAUAGGGAGCCGAGUCAAGCCUGACUUAUGAGUCCAUAUAUGUUGCUGGCUAUAUCCCACAAAGCCACCUUCUGGAUUCACCAUGAGGCCAUCUAUCUGCUGACAAACUGCGGCACUAGUCUUCAUAGGAGGUGCAAGGUCUGUCACUACGACACCUUUCAUAAAGUUUUUGAUGUCUCGUCUAAAUGCAUGAUCAAGAGGGAGAAAUUGCCAAUGUUUAUCGAACGCCGAAUACUUGCCACCCUUCUGCAACCAAAUGAACCUAAGACCUUCCUUGCAUACUGGGCAUGGAUACUUCCCGUGAACACACCAGGCACUGAAUAUCCCAUACGCCAAUAGGUCAUGAAGGGAGUAUUGGUACCAGACAUGCAUUUUGAAGUCUGUCUUUGUAGCCGGGUCGUAUGUCCAUACUCCUUCCUCCCAAGCACGGACCAAUUCAUCAAUUAGAGCCUCCAUGAACACACCCAUAUUAUUCCCCGGGUGUCCAGGAAUAAUCAACGACAACAAUAUGUUCUGUCGUUGAAAGCAUACGCCUGGGGGGAGAUUGAGGGGGAUAACGAAUACUGGCCAACAUGUGUAUGGUGCAGCCAUCAUUCCAUAAGGAUUGAACCCAUCUGUUGCCAGCGCAACACGUACAUUACCAGACUCUCUGGCUUUCUCAUGAUGAAUGCUAUCAAAGUGGGUCCAUGCUUCACCAUCGGACGCAUGUACCAUCUUAUCAGGAUUGUAUCGUUUUCCAUUUUUGUGCCGUGUCAUCUGUUUUUGCGUAUUCCUCUAUCAUGUAUAACCGCUGGAUCCUCAGUAUGAACGGAAGGUGACGUAGGAUUGUCACGGGGAUGUCAAGCUACCUCUUGUGCCCAUCACCAGAGUCUACCUCCAUGAACCUAGAGGAUUUACACCUUGGACAAUACUUUGAUUCUGCGUAUUCUGUCCUAAACAGGACACACCCCUUCGGACAAGCAUGUAUCUGGUCAUAAGGCAUCUUGAGUGCAUGAAGAAGUUUCUGUGCCUCGUACAUGCUCUUUGGAAGAAUGUGACCCUUCGGAAGUAGGCUGCCAAUAACUGUCAACAUACCAUCGAAGGCGUCUCGGCUCAGGCUAUACUGCGACUUUAAUGCCAUUAUGCGUCCAAUGGCAUCCAAUUGAGAAACCUUUGUCUGUCCGUGAAGGGGUUUCUGUGCCGUGGCAAACAUGUCGUAGAACACCUUUGCAGUUGCCUCUAGCUCCUCCUCCGUAUGUCCUUCAACAAAUUGUGCCUCGUGAUAGUCAUGUAACAUUUCCGCUACCCCGGCAUCGGCAUCAUAAUCCUCGACACGUUGCCUCACCACCUCCUCUCUCAUAUGAUCGGCUUCACCGUGGAAGACCCACUGGGUAUAGCCUGCCGUAAAUCCAUUCAAACAAAGAUGUUCCCCCAUGACCUUCUUUGUUUGUCUUUUCCUAUUUGCACAUUUGCUGCAUGGACAGAAAAUUCUACUCGCUCCUUUAGCAGCUUCGCCAAACACCCGUUCCAAGAAAGACUCGGUCUUGUUGAUCCACUCAUCGGUGACUUGACCCCGACUUAAGUGGCCAGUGUACAUCCACUCACGGUCUUCCAUCCUCUAACAUAUGCAUUUGAAAGUAAUAUCAAUUUCAUAUGACAAAAGUUUUCAUCAUAAUGCCAUGACACACUCUCUAGCAUUUUCUAUAUCACAAUGCAUUCACAUUCUCUAGCCUUUUGUGUAUCACAAUGUCACAUGAUAAGCCAAGCCAACUUCUUAUAUCCUAAAAGAUGACUAAGGGGUGUUUGGACGUGCUAAAAUUUAGCCCUAGAUAUAUUAUUGAUUGUAUAAAUAAAUUCUAGUAAAAUAGUGGUAGAAGCUAUAUCUAAUGGCCGUGUCAUUGUCAGAAACAUGAAGUGUUGUAAUAGAUCGAGAAGUAGUAGGUUGUAACUGUCUUUUUAGUUAGCGCCAUGUACCUAUACAUCCAUUUGGGACGGAAGCAUUGCCCGUAUAGCCAUGGCUGCAUUGACAACUAAAAUUUUCUGGUUUAUUCUCGCAAACAUCCACAGGACUAAAGUUACAAACAUUGCGAUCUCCUAGGCUCCUACUCUAUGUUAAUAUAUUUAAUGGUCCAAAAUGGUACCUGUCUCUACUGCAAUACCACACACAUACAUUCAUUAUUGUCCAUGCCAAAAACCAUAGCAAACAUAUUCGCAAAUGCCACAAACCAUAGCAAACAUAGCAGUACCUGCGCGCCAUGGCUGCAUUGACAACUAAAAUUUCCUGGUUUAUUCUCGCAAAUACCAUAGCAAACAUAUUCGCAAAUACACAUGCAUCAGCUGGUGGAAUAUGAACGGAUGCAGUACCUAUGGCGGCCGGCGGCGGGGGCGGGGGCGCGGGCCGGGGGCGCGGCCAGCGGCGGGGGCGGGGGCGGGGGUGCGGGCCGGGGGCGCGGAGCCGGCGGGGUCGGGGGCGGGGUGGCACAGAGUGAAAGUGUGUGGAUAAGGUGGGAGGGAGCCGGCACAUAUUCAAAACCUUUGCUGAGUGCCAGAUCAUGGGCACUCGGCAAAGGCCCCUCUUUGCCGAGUGCCAGAUCAGCGGCACUCGGCAAAGAAAUCACAUUUUUCAAACCUAUUUUGUCAAUUUAUUGAAUUUCUUGUAUUUAUUGAAAUUUGAACUACAAGUCACACGAAUAAUGGAAAACAAUGAAUGAAAAAAAUGAUAUUCACGUUAUUGAAGGAUGCGUCGAGACCUUAUCGAGAAAAAAAUCAGAAAUUUCAAACUUGUUGUCCACGAAACAUGACGACGAACUUCUUAUCCAGUUGUUUUUAAAAUGUAUAAAAAGCAAAUAUGGUCCGAAAAUUAUGAAACUUGUCGAGAUGUAAUGAUAUCACAUGGGGAAGCUGUGAUAAAAAUCUGAUGAGGUUUCGUGAAAGUUAAAACAUACGAUGCUUACAAAUUGAAAGUUCUCCAAAGAGAUGUAUGAUUUUAUGUGAAAUCCGAUUAGGUGUUAAACAUCGUAGAUGUCAAACUUUUAUGAAAUCUUAUACAAAUUUUAUCACAGUGUCCUCACAUGAUAACAUGACAUCUCUACAAGUUUCAUAAUUUUCCGACCAAAUUUAUCUUUUAUACAAUUUAAACACGACUUGAACACAAUUUAGUCGCCAUGUUUCGUGAAUAGUAGGUUUGAAAUUUGUGAUCCUUUCUUCGAUAAGACCUCAAAGCAUGCUCAUUAACAUGAAUAACAAUUUUUCAUUCAUUUUUUCCACUAUUCGAAUGACCACGCAGUUCAAAUUUGAAUUAUUCAAGAAAUUCAAUAAAAUGAAAUAAAUUGUCAAAAUAUAGCAAACACUUCGAUAAAUGAACCUAAAUUAUAUAUCUUGUUGAGGAGAAUGUAGGAUGGCAAUAGAAAAAAUUUUAGACAAAAUAAAGAAAAAAAUAUGUAUAUUUUACUGAGUGUCUUGCCUAGGCACUCGGCAAAGACUCACGCCGUUAACUACCGUCACGUCCUGGCGCGCUUUUGCCGAGUGUCAUCCUUUGCCGAGUGCUCGACACUUGGCAAAAUAUUCUUUGCCGAGUGUUUUAUUACGCCGAGUGCCAGACAGUUGGCAAAGGAUAUAUUUAUCGUGUGUUUUCCUUUGCCGAGUAUUGCACUCGGCAAAGAGGAUUUUUGCCGAGUGCCCGAUAUUUUGCGCUCGGCAAAUCUCUGGACACUCGGCAAAGUCCUCGUUUCCGGUAGUGAAUCUCAGUCCACACAUCGCCCAGCAUCUUCCACACAAUUUCCGGAUCAUUCGGCGGCUUGCUUCCCGGAUCAUUCGGCGGCUUUGCCUUUGCCCGUAAUGAAGCACCUAGCGUCACACCAUUUUUCACCACCUUCUUUUCUGUCCAGCUCCCUUCUCCCUCGAGCUUCAUGAUCCUCCCGACCCGGGCGGCCUGCCGGAAGAAGAAGAACUCCAGGCAGCCGAGGCUCUCCUUGAGCUCCUUUUUCACGAGGUUGACGACGUCCUCCGUCUUGUCCUGAUUGUCCGGCAGGAGCUCCGGGUGGAAGAUCACCAGGUAUGAACAGUACUUGGACAGCCUCGUCGCCACAAUGCUGCUCGAGGUAUGAGAUGGGAAUUUGUCCUCGAAUAUGGUGGUGGCGAUGUGCCAGGUGAGGAUGACCUCGGCGAUGCUCUUGCUCUUGAACGCCCAUUUAAGAUCUUGGUCUACCACGGGCUUGCCAAUGGAGAUGGGAGCAGCAUGGUCAUGUGCCACGAGGUACUCCAUGAUGGAGUCCUUAACACAGGCCGGAACAGUCCUGGCCCGCACCAGCAGGGAGAGCGUGGACGGCAGCGGGAAGACCGGCGGCCACCGCAGGUUGAGCACGGAGAACUGCUUGAUGGUGAGCUCGCCGUGGCUCAUCCUGCUCCGCAGCCACCGGAUCCCGCGGAAGCCCCACCUGAAGCUGGGCUUCUCUCGCCACGCCGGCCUGGCCGCGUAGUCGCAGACGAGCGCGACCAUGAACCAGUUGGAGAGGAGGAAGACGGCGAGCUCCCAGACGGACUCGUAGACGAAGAUGAUGAAGAGGAGGAAGGUGAUGGCGAGGUCAAGCAGGGCGAAGAAGGUGUUGGGGGACUUUUUGACCUCCUUGAAGAGGCACAUGGUCAGGUUGCGGAUGCCGGUGCUGAGGGUGUAGUUGUCCGCGUGGAUGCUGGCCAGUGAGUAGCCGAAGUCUCCGUUGCCGCAGAGGAAGACGGUCAUGAGGCAGAGGCCGAGCACGAGUGCACGACCACGGGGAAGAGGAGGUAGUUGGCGAGCAGGAAGAAGAGGCUCGCGAAGAUGACGGGGACGACGGAGUGGUAGUACUCGGAGAGGAAGUUGACGUCGUCGGUGAUCACCUGGAACACCGCCUCGGAGUCCGUCGUCGUCCUCACCGUGCCUUCAUGUCCGUCCUCCUUGACCUUGUUGUAGUAGAGGCCCUUGAGGAUGAGCUCCCUGCCGUGGGUACGGUGGCUUCCUCCUCGGUCAGUGGCUCGAUCGUGCUGCUCGAACCGGCGGCGGAGGAGCUUGAAGAGAGCGGAGAGACAGAGCCUCCUCAGGCGUUGGUCUCGAUCCCAGCCAUCGAAGCUCGAAUCACUGUCGGUAAGCCUCCAGACAUCGCCGACUGUGAGCUGUGACUACGCCGGGGACGACCGCAACGCCGUUCGGGUCAACGUUCAGAUCGUAACCGUCCGCAGUCGCCUCCUUCACCAGCUGAUCUUCUCCCACCACGAUGUACGGGCACGCCUUCAGCAGCUGCUCAGGCGUCCGUCGUUGAGCAGCAUGCUCCACGUCGCCGCCGUCGUGGUGCACGACAGGAACAACGUGGAGGCCAAGGAUUUGUGCCAUGUAGGAGGCGAUGAGCCUGGCGUUCUUGCGUGGGCGUAGGAGCGCUUGCCGAACUCGGUGAAGGCGAUCCGCUGCACCACCGUGGUGGCGCAGAGGAUCCAGAGGAUGCCGAAGAGGAUCUUCCGGCCGGCGCUGCGGAUGUUGAAGAAGACCAGGCUGCCCAGCCAGACGACGCGGCCGGCGCGCUGGAGGCUGCUGGAGAUGCCCUUCGUGCGGAUCUCGUCCACCUUCUUGCGGAGGAGCUCCACCAGCAGCAUCCACACGAGGAUGACCAAAGCCUGCGAGGAUGGCGCCGAGGAGAGGACGAUGCGGACCUUGGGGUCGAGGAUGGCGCUCACGUCGGAGAUGCCGCUGAAGAGGUUCAGGUUGAAGAAGACCCCGGCGAGGACGAACAUGAUGACGGAGGCCGCCACCAUGGAGGCCUCAUUGCUCUGGUUGACGUACGUGGAGGUGAGGUUGGAGACGAACAUCCUAGUGGAUUGGUCGCAGACGACAUUCUCGAACAGCACCAUGGCUACCUCUUGGCCGGCUUCGAGAUAGCCACUGUAAUAGCUAGCGACACAUGCCUCGUAUUUAUAUAUACUGACUACUACUAUCUAGUUCAUCUCAAUCCAAAGGAGAUCGAAGAGGAAUAAGAGCAGAAAAUUGUUCCAGCAAGAACAAAGGAAGACGAAGAGCAUCGCGUGUAGGCGUAGGUUUGCUUUUUGUCGUCAAAUGCGACAAAGCUGCGAGUGAUUUAAAGCAGGAUGAAGGCACGCAGUAGAGUAAGCUGUAGAGGCAAUUUAAUUUAUUUCCUCCAAAGUUAAAGCUGAUAUUCUCGCUCGCUUUCCUUUUCCCUCCACCUACCAAACUUUUGAACCCUAAGCUCCAUCCCAGGCUUGUGUUGUACACCGUUCAUUUGUGCUCGCUAUAUAUGUAUGAUGCCUAUGGAAGCAAUGAAGAAGCGGGGCAUAGCAAAGCAAAUCAAGCAAGAAAGCUAGCGCUUGCCCGGCCAUGGCGGCAGCCGACGCCAUCGGUCGGAAAUCGGCAUUCCGGCGGGGGCUCAACGCGACGCGCUUGGCCGUAGCCUCCGCCGUGUCGGUGCCCAUCGUCUUGAUCGUCGCCUACGCCGUCACCGUGGUCACCUGGACCGAGGAGCGCUCUCUCUCUCGAUCACCGGUGGCAUCAUAUACGUGACGCGUGAGUUGGUGCAGCCGCGGAAGGUCGGACUCACCUUCAGCGUCCAGGCCAACAACCCCAGCGGCCGCGCCCGCUUCUACUACACACCGGCCUCCACGGCUUGGUCUUCCUUGCACUACAGGAAAACAGGACAUUUUCGACGGCCACUUUUAAUUUCGUCGGCCAAGGAGGCGGCCGACGAAAAUAUUCAAUUUAUUUCGUCGGCCAAAACAGUUCGACGAAAUUACGACUUGUUUUCGUCGGCCCAGAAAGGCCGACGAAAAAAUGACUCUAUUUUCGUCGGCUAGGACCUAGCCGACGAAAAAAUGGUACUAUUUUCGUCGGCUAAGGAUGGGCCGACGAAACAAGCACACUAUUUUUGUCGGCCAACCCUAAGCCGACGAAACUAACUUUAAUAAGUUUACCAUAAUUACCACGCGCAGUACCCCCACACUCACACACAGUACCUUUCCCUCUCCCUGCCCGACCCCGCGCCCGCCCGCCCACGCCGCCACCCCACGCCGCCCGGCCCCGCGCCCCCCGCCGCCGCUGCCGCCGCCCCGCGGCCCGCCUUGCCCCGCCGCACCGCCGCCCCGCGGCCCCCGCGCCCCGUGCGCCCUGUCGCCCACCGUCCGUCUCGGCCCCCGCCUUCAUCCCGUGCCGCCCCACGACCCACGCCGCCGCCCCGCGCGGCUCGGCCCCGCCCCCGCCGCAGCCGCCGCCCCCAGCGUCCCGCCUCGCCCUGCCGCCCCGCGCCCCGCCGCCCCGCGCCCCGUGCGCCCCGCCGCCCCGCGCCCGCGUCCCUGCCCGCGCGGGCGUGGCCGCGGCGCGUCCCUGCCCGCGCGCGCCCCUGCCCCUGCGCGCCCCUGCCCGUGCCCGUGCGCCCCGCGCCCCCGCGCGCGGAAGCCCUUUGCCCCGCCCGUGCCCGCGCGCCCGCGCGCCCCCGCGCGCGCCCUUGCCCCCGCGCACCCCUGCCCGUGCUCCCCACGCCCCCGCGCGUGGCAGCCCGUUGCCCCGCCCGCGGCCGCGGGCCGCGCGCCCCUACCCACGCGCGCCCCUGCCCUCGCGCGCCUGCCCACGCGCGCCCCUGCGCUUGCGCGCCCCUGCCCGUGCCCGUGCGCCCGGCGGCCCCGCGCGCGGCAGCCCUUUGCCCCACCCGCGCCCGCACGCGGCAGCCCUGUGCCCCGCCGCGCGCCCCUGCCCGCGCGCCCGUGCGCCCCUGCCCGCGCGCCCGUGCGCCCCCGCUCGUGCCCCUGCCCCCGCGGCCGCCGCCGCCACAUCGCGCCCCUACGGCCGCCUCCGCCGCAUCGCGCCCGCGCAGCUCCGCGGCCCGCCACCGCCCCCGAGGCCCCACGCCGUGCCCCCGCUGCCGCCCCCGCAGGCAACCGCGGCCCACCGCCGCCCACAGGUAUGCUUGCCCGUUCUCUUUGCUGCUAGUUUUGAACUGACCGAAUAACUAUUAAACUUAGUGAUGCAUUGUGGUCCACUAGGUAAUUUUUUGUAUUACUCUUAAACUGUAUUACUCUUAAAAUAUUUGUGUUAUAUUUCCUAGAUAAUUAUUGUUUGCUUAGUAUCGUUAAUGAAGUAAUAUUUCUCACUUUCGUUAUGAAGUAGAUAGUUUGAGAAAAUGAGAGACGAUCGAAGUUGGAUGUAUGAUGGUUGGACAAGUAACGGAAUGCCUACGCGAGAGUGGAUGGUCAACACAUAAGCUUUUGUUGAUCAUGUAUUUUUCUUGUCACCUGGUGCUGGUUUGGCAAAGUGUCCAUGUAACAAGUGUCAGAAUUGUUCUCGUCAAGUCAAGAUUGAUAUGGAGCGUCACCUAUGCAAGUGGGGUUUCAUGCCGAACUAUUAGAGGUGGUAUGAGCAUGGGGAGUCACAGGAGCAGGAGCCAUACAACCUAGUUGAUAGCUUUGAGGAGAACGAAGAUAGGAUGGAUGCAAUGAUGGAUGAUUUUGUCCAACAGGUUGAGAAUGCUGCUGAGGUACCGGAAUAUUUUGGUCUGCUUGCUUCAUCAAAAGAACCAUUACAUGGGGCCACUACUUUAUCACAGCUUGCUGUUGUGACACGGUUAAUGGCUAUAAAGUCCAAGUACAACUUUUCAGUAAGUUGUUACAAUGAUCUUGUUGACUUAAUUUCGGACAUGCUUCCGAAAUCUCACAAAUUUCCGAAAGACUUUUACUACUCAAAGAAGCUGUUAGCUGGUUUAGGGAUGCCGUAUCAAAAAAUCCAUGUCCAUGUGUAUGAGAACAAUUGCAUGUUAUUUUGGAAGAAUAAUGAAAAUCUCAAGUACUGUUCGUUUUGUAAGAAGUGCAGAUAUAAGAAGGUGGUGAAAAAAGAUGGAAGUGUGCAGAUAACAAGUGUGCCCGUUAAGGUGUUACGGUACCUACCAUUGAAACCAAGGCUUCAACGGUUGUACCUGUCUCAGAAGACUACAAAACAUAUGAGAUGGCAUAAAGAGGGAAUUCGUAAUAAUACAGGAUGCAUGAGCCAUCCAUCUGAUGGUACAGCUUGGAAGGCCCUCGACCAUUAUGAUCCAAGUUUUGCAAGUGACCCUCGGAAUGUGCGUGUUGGGUUGGCCACUGAUGGCUUCACUCCCUUUAACUCAAAUGCUGCCCCCUACUCCUGUUGGCCAGUGAUAACAAUUCCAUACAAUCUUCCACCAUCAUUAUGCAUGAAAGAUGAGUAUGUGUUCUUGACGCUCAUUAUACCUGGUCCUGGCAAUCCCGGUAAGCGUCUGAACAUAUUUAUGGAACCAUUGAUUGAUGAGCUGCAUGACUUGUGGAAUGGAGUUAGGACAUAUGACAGCAGUUGGAAGGAAUACUUCAAUAUGCGAGUAGCAUUUCUUUGGUCUAUUCAUGAUUUCCCUGCAUAUGGAAUGCUCUCGGGAUGGAGCACGCACGGGCGUCUAUGUUGUCCGAUAUGCAUGGGUGAUACAGAUGCUUUUCGUUUGAAAUAUGGUGGCAAAUUCUGCUUUUUUGACUGUCACCGUCGGUUCUUGUCUCAUGAUCACCCGUUCAGGAAUCAACGAGAUGUCUUUCGCAAGGACACAAUCGUUACUAAGGGUCCACCCAAGCGUUUGACUGGUCAGGAGAUUGUAGCAAGCUAUUGUCGGUUAAUUGCCACAGAUGAUGGGUUUGAAGGGGUCAAAGAGGAGCAUAAUUGGACUCAUAUAGCUGCUAUUUGGAGCCUUCCUUAUGCUACUGCUCUGAUCCUUCCACAUAAUUUAGACGUAAUGCAUCAAGAGCGCAAUGUUGCAGAAAGUAUAAUUAGUAUGGUUUUUGAUUUGAAAGAUAAGACUAAAGAUAAUUUCAAAGCUCGGCAAGACUUAGCUGAAAUAUGUGUUCAGCCAACCCUUAAUCUGAGACCCAAUCAAGCUGGCCAUAUGGGGAAGCCACGUGCUAAGUACUAUCUUAAGCCUGCGGAGAGGAAAGAAGUUCUUUUAUGGCUGAAGAACCUUAAAUUUCCUGAUGGAUAUGCAGCUAAUCUGAAACGGGCGGUGAACAUUGUAACUGGGAAAAUGAAUGGUUUGAAAAGUCACGAUUACCAUAUCAUCAUGGAAAGGUUGUUGCCUGUGAUGCUACGUGGGUACCUCCCUGAAGAAAUUUGGAUAAUGUUGGCCGAGUUAAGUUUUUUCUACAGGCAAUUAUGUGCAAAAGAAAUUAACAAGAAUACAAUGAGAAAACUGAGUAAGGAAAUACCUGUCUUAGUAUGUAAGAUGGAGAAGGUGCUCCCCCCGGGUUUCAUGAAUGUAAUGCAACACUUGUUAAUGCAUUUGCCUUAUGAAGCUGAGGUUGGUGGCCCCGUACAAUACAGAUGGAUGUGCUUUGUUGAACGAGACUUAAAGAAGCUCAAAGCAACCAUAGGAAAUAAAACACGAGUGGAGGGAUGCAUUGCCGAGGCAUUCUAUCUUAAGGAGAUCUCACACUACACGAGCACAUAUUUUGCAGAAGAAAAUAACAUUAAUGCUCAUAUACCGCGCUACCACACCUCGAAUGAGACACCGACGAGCAAUCUCAAGCUGCUUCAGUGGACUGGCAAGGCCGUCGGUGCUGGUUUGGUCUAUGAAAUGUGCACACAAGAAUGGAAUACUGCAUUGUUGUAUAUGUACACAAAUAUGGAGGAGAUGGAAAAAUAUUUCGUGUAAGUACCAUGUUAUAUAUCUCAUAUGUGAAUCACGUUUAGCGAUGUACUUGUGCUAAAUAAAGAAUCUGUAGGUUGUUUGAUCAAGAACAAUGGAGAUAUGCACGACAGCCAACUGCUAAACAGCUCAAAACCUUACGGCGUGAGUGUUUACGUGGUGGUCCAAAUUUUGUCACAUGGUUUAGAAGAUAUGUAAGCAUCCUUACUCUAACUACCUUAUUUAUAUAACUCGUUAUGAGUUAACAAAAUUUUAAAACUUGUAGUGCAUGAAGGAUAGCAAUGUCCAUGAUGAUCUAAGACAGCUUUUACAUGGAAGCACGACUGCUAGGGGUUAUGGUUGCUACAACAUAAACGGAUUUCGGUUCCGUUCAACCAAGUUUGAAGCAAAAAAUCCAUAUGCCGCCACAACAAAUAGUGGAGUUGUGACCACCGCGAGUGCCUCAGAUGGUUCUAUCACGGAGUAUUUCGGUGUCAUUCAGAAUAUAGUGGAGCUGAAGUUUGAAGGUUCAAAAGAUUUAAGAGUUGUGUUAUUUUAUUGUGAUUGGUUCAAUAGUAAAUUAGGUUAUGGGGUAAAGCAUAACAAAAAAUUUGGUUUAGUGGAGGUGAACCACAAAUUGCGACUUUCUGGUAACAAUCCAUUUGUCCUCGCACAUCAAGUUGAGAUGGUCUAUUAUAUGUCGUAUCCAUGCUGUUUGGAAAGUUUGGAACCAUGGUGGAUUGUUCAGAGAGUACGUCCUCCAGGUCGAUUGCCUAUUCGUGGAGAUGAAGGUUAUGAUGAAUGUGAGCUCGAUCGUACUGUUCCUGAAGCAUUUCAGGAAAAUGAGUGUAAUGGAGCCUUUGAAGUUGAUAUUGGGAUGGCACUUGACAGAUUAGAUGGUGACACCGGUGAUGUAAUAGUUUCUGAGGUUCAAAAGAAAAAACGGCCACGUCGUGCAAGUAAAGUAAUGUCCACAACGUAUGAAAUGCGGCAUGGUACUAUUUAUGGUGGCCCCGUAGCUGAAGAAGAUGACCCCGAGGAAUUUUAACAUGUAAUGUGAUGUUAUAUGUAGUUUUUCUUAAUAGUGUUCUAUUUGGUAAUUGUUGUUAUGAAACUUGUUAUCUUUUAUUUACCAUUGCUUCAUAUGAUAUUAACUAACCAUAUUUUAUUUUUUUAGGAUGAGGUCAUUUGUGCACUCUCUAAAGGGGAAGGGAAAGAAGGAUGUAUCCUCGUCUUCAAGAAGUCAGGGAAAGAAGAAUGAUGGCACAGCAUCUUCGGAUAGGCCUUCUCUCUUUAGAGGCAGCAGUUCUCAUCUGAGCCGAAGAAGUGCACUUCAGCGAUGUCUAAACGAGGCUGUGCAAGUAAGUCAUAUGUAGUUUGCAUGUGUAAUUUAUUUUUUUAAUAACAAUAAAUAUAUACUUGUAUUUGAACAACAAGAAGAGGAAGGUAGGGGUGCGGAUGAGGAAGUAUAUGUCGUGAAUGUGGAUGGCGAUGGAGAUGGAGGCAGUGGAGAGGGAGAUGGGUGCGAGGACAGAGAAGAGCGCGAGGAUGGAGAUGGAGAUGCAGAGGAGGAUGAAGAGGAGGAUACUGCUGCACAACCUGUGUUCAGGUACUUAUGAUCAUUUCAUGAAAAAAAUUUAUAUGAGCUACCUAACUAAUACACCACAUUUAGAUUUAGAGGCAACAAUGUGAUGACUCCUGCAGCAACCAAUCCGGCAAAUCGUCGACAGAUUAGGCCACAUGGGGGAUUGGUAAGUAAUAUAUUUUAUUGUCAUGAUUAUUUUAUUUAAUAUAUUAUAUAGUUCAAGUAAGAAACAUGGUGGAUAUCAUAUUCUAAUUGCAGGCAGUGGGACGAUAUUUGUUGGGAGGGAAGAAAUAGGUUAAGACCUGUGAAUGCAACACUGGGAACACUUUGUUGGUUUCACUACCCAGGAAUGGUCACAAUUGGAGGUGUGCUUCAACCUGCAUUGAAGUGGGAGCACUAUAAGCUGCAAUCGGAUGAUAAGGGUGUCUCGACGGCAGCGAGAGUUUGGAAUGAUUUCUGGGUACUUUUUUAUCAUAACUUAUCUAACUUGUAUAACUACUAUCUAUUUCAUUCAUUUAUGAGUUGUGUAAUGAAUUAAUUUUUCUUUUUAGGAGAGGUAUCGUUUGCCGGAGGGGGAGGAGCAGUGCCUACAAGAUAGGGCUCGUUCUGUUUUUAAGAAGGCAGCGACGAAGGUGGUAAGGGACAUGAUGUCCAAUACUCAUAUACAGUUCGUUUGUUUAUACUACAAGAAAGUAAAGCUGCAAGACAUGAACAAGAAACUGGGUGCUUCUGAGAUAUAUCUCCGAGAGGAUGAGUACCUUGAAGUUGAUAUUAGCGGUUUGCCUUGGUUGAGAAAGUGUCCGGAUGCUUGGCGAGCACUUUGUGCUUAUUGGGCUUCACCGAGCUUUGUGGAAAAAUUUAGGAUGAAGAGAGCUAAUCGUCAAGCAGGACCACAGGUUACACAAAGAUAUGGGGCUGAUGGACAUCUUCGUUUGGCUCGUGGAAUGGUACGUGUUUAUUAUUUCAAUUUGAUUAUUAUGUGCUUACUUGCAAUAUCACAAUUUUUUCUUUGCCAGGAGGCACAAAGUGGGGUGGCACCAAGCUAUAUUGAAACAUACAUUCGAGGCCACCACGGCGCAGAUCCUACACAGCCAGAGUUGCUUUGCAGUGAGAAUGCUACACAGACUCUGGUUAGUAAAAUAAUUUGAUUUCAAUUAAGCGAUGAUUCGAAUAUAAUCUUAUUAUUGGUUGCCUGAAUGGCAAGCGAGAUAUGGUGAUGAAAUGGUGGCACGUCAUGGGGAGGAACACGAUUGGAGGAGGAGUGAUGUGGAUGUCGGUGCCUUAUACUCAAGCGGGGGAGGGAAGAAACAUGGCAGGUUCAGCAUGUUGAAUGGCGUUAUUGAAACAAGUGGUGCUUUGAGUGAGGCAAGGUGUUCCCAGUCCACUCAGAAUUCUCGGGGGUACCAACGGGAAAGUCAAAGGGAAAGUGUGCUGCAGGAGGAGAUAAGGCAGCAUAGAGAGGCGAUGCAGAGGCAAGAGGAGUGCGCAAGGCAACAGUAUGAGUACAUACAAGGUUUUUUCGCUCAGCAUCGACAGAUUCAGGUACUAUGCAAGUUUGAUAUUUUUUCAAAUCGUUAUGCACUUUCCAUUGCUAUAAAAUAUUUAAUCUACUAUCGGUUUUUAGGAAAUGCUGGCGGCUACCCUUGGCUCACAAUUUAAUUUGCCACCUCUUCCUUCGCCUCCUCCUCCACCGCCGACUUUUGUACCAUAUGUGCGUCUACCGUCUCCACAAGUGGUAAUUAUAUCGUAUAACUAGCAAUACUCAAAUUGUCUUACAUAUGCAUACUAAAUAGAUUUAACUUUUUCUAUAAUCAGGGUUCGAGGAGUACUCAUCCUCGAGGAGUUUCUGCCAGCCCGUCCACGCCACCAUCGGCAGCGCGUAAUAUUUCUGGAGGUGACUGCGGCAGCGGAUAUAAUAUUACCCCUCCUCCUUGAUUUGUGUUUUCGCGUUGUAGGCUCUUGCACUUGCCAUGUAGGCCUAGUAGGGGAGCGUGUCAAAAGUCUCAUCGCAUUACUUUUGGUGGAUAACUUGCUUUACCUUGCUUAUGGAUAUGUUAUGGAUAUAUUAUAACUGUUUAUGGAUAUGUAACUGCUUUGGAGGUUAUCGACAUCACGUGACAUCGUUUCUCGUUCUUUAAUUGUAUUUAUUGGAUGUAUUUGGUGAUUGUAUGUUGAUGUAUUUCAUAAUUCUGAUUGUUUGUUAAUGGAUUAUGGAUAUGCAUAAGCAGUUAGCUGCAUCUCAGGUAGCUGCAGCUGCUGUUUGUAAGAGAUGCUAGUAUUUUACGGCGGACUGGCCGACGAAAAUAUACUCCAGCAUUUUCGUCGGCCGCAGCAGCCGACAAAAAUAAUAUAAUUAAUUUCAUCGGCCAGGGGCCGACGAAAAUACGUGAUAUAUUUUCGUCGGCCCACGAAACCGACUAAAAUAGUCACAGAUGUUUUCGUCGGCUACUGCAGCCGACGAAAAUAUUACCGUAUUUUUGUCGGCUUCCUUGGCCGACGAAAAUACACUUAUUUUCAUCGGCAGCCGACGAAAAAGAGCCUAUUUUCGUCGAGUUUAUUUUGUCGGUCUAUUUUCAUCGGUUGGCCGAUAUUUUCGUCGGCAAAUGGCCUAUUUUCGUCGGACGAAAAUGUCCUGUUUUGCUGUAGUGCUGUGAACAACGGCACGAGCAAGCCUAUCGCGAAGUUCAGCACGGGUACGAAGGACAUGGUCGUGGCCCCCAACUCGAUGCUGCAGACGGAAGCUUAUGUGCAUGUAGAUGACAUUCCCCAAAUCGCUCCCUACUUCGACGAGCUGUACAACAGCAGCAGCGCCAACAUCUUCUCCAACGCGAUGCUGAUGCUGAACGGUACCCUCGACGUCAGGCUCUACUCGGGUGCACAAGAAGUCCAGUGUCCAGACGGUUUACUACUGCUGGCCGCUCACCAUGGGCGCCGCUGGCAACGCCUCCGCGCCGGACAUGGAUGAUAACGUGCCGUGCGGGACCUAUGAUCCGAUGGAAUAGUUUCAUUCUUUAAUUUGUUGGUGUUCUUGUUUAAUGCUACUUUGUACAAUCAUAUGUGGAUCGGAUUUGGUUUGACAUCAGCUGGUGUAUUUUGAAUAUGUAUUGAAUUUGCACAGUUAUGCAAAUUUGCACUGACUACUACUAUCUAGUUCAUCUCAAUCCAGCAAGAACAAAGGAAGACGAAGAGCAUCGCGUGUAGGCGUAGGUUUGCUUUUUUGUCAUCAAAUUAAAUGCGACAAAGCUGCGAGUGAUUUAAAGCAGGAUCGAGGCACGCAGUAGAGUAAGCUGUAGAGGCGAUGUGACCAGCUCGAAAGUGAAGAACAUAUGACUCAGGUUCUUUCUUUCUUGACAAGCUAUCAGGAUGCUAACUUUUCUUUUGUAUAAAGAACAAAGUAUGAUGCCCUCAUCAUCUGUCUAUUCUUAUAUAUUAUAAGGAGACUUCCUCCUCGCCAAUUGACCGGCGAUUUGCAUUCCUGUCGAUCACCGCAAUUUUAGUGGACAGUGAAUUGGAGAGGGAUAUUUGGGCUUAGGGUGUGGAGGUUUGGGGUUACUUGCGCCUGCAAGCCUAGUGGAGCUCCGGGGUGGCUUGCCGUCCGGUGGUGAAGGGGGAGAGAUGUCGUUAAUCUUUGAAUUUUUCAGGACCUUGAAGCUUCUAGUAAGAGAAUUCAUAAUUCUCUUAGUGGCUGAUAGUGUGAAAUAUAUAUUUAUAUAUAGCAUCUAAGAACAUCUAGUAUAGGUGCCAAGCAUGUUUGGAACGACGGUCAUAUAAUUGCAUGGUAAUUCUGAUCACGGAAAAGCAUACAAACAAUAAUUCCUUGAAAUUUGGACAAAAUUUGGAUAGAAAUGGUGCAUCUUUUGAUGAGCAGUUAUGUUCUAUUGGCAAAUGGUAAUUCUGAUCAUGGUAAAAAAGAUUAACAUAUCACAGAACUCGUGAAAUUUUGAACACUUAAUAAGCAUGUUGUCUAUUAUUAUUCGAAAUGAAUAAUUUGCCGAAAAUGCAAGCACCCCUAUUGACUUGAUCACUCAACCCGGAUAAGCAUCUUAUUACACAAAAAGAAUCUAACCAAAAAAAUCGAUCAGUAUAUAUGCUCGAUGAAACCAUCCCCUCCCAAUGCAUAUGGAUUGUUUUGAAAAAUUCGCAAAUCGGCUUGGGCAAUAUAUAUAGACAAAUCAGCUGCCUCUUCCCCCAACAACAAACGACAAAAGGUCCAUCUUGCUGCUUAUAGGGUUUUGGAACCACAUUCCUACGAGACACAUCACUUUAGCAGUGUCACUAGGUAACGCAUUAUAACCACUUUAAUCCUUGGAAUCUUUUCUUCCUCAAGUCCUGGCAAUUUAAUUUAUUUCCUUCAAAGUUAAAGCUGAUAUUCUCGCUCGCUUUCCUUCUCCAUCCCAGGCUUGUGCUGUACACUAUUCAUUUGUGCUCGCUAUAUAUGUAUGAUGCCUAUGGAAGCAAUGAAGAAGCGGGGCACAGCCAAGCAAAUCAAGCAAGAAAGCUAGCGCUUGCCCGGCCAUGGCGGCAGCCGAUGCCGUCGGCCGGAAAUCGGCGUUCCGGCGGGGGCUCAAUGCGACGCGCUUGGCCGUAGCCUCCGCCGUGACGGUGCUCAUCGUCUUGAUCGUCGCGUACGCCGUCACCGUGGUCACCCGGACCGAGGAGCUCUCUCUCUCGGUCACCGGCGGCAUCAUAUACGUGACGCAGGAGUCGGUGCAGCCGCGGAAGGUCGGACUCACCUUCAGCGUCCAGGCCAACAACCCCAGCGGCCGCGCCCGCUUCUACUACACUGGCCUCCGCGGCUUGGUCUUCCCUGUGAACAACCGCACGAGAAAGCCUAUCGCGAACUUCUCCCAUGGUAUGAAGGACAUGGUCGUGGCCCCCAACUCGUUGCUGCAGACGGAUGCUCUUGUGCAUCUAGAUGACAUUCCCCUAAUCGCUCCCUACUUUGACGAGCUGUACAACAGCAGCAGCGCCAGCAUCUUCUCCAACGCGAUGCUGACGCUGAACGGUACCCUCGAGGUCGGGCUCUACUCGGUGCACAACAAGUCCAGGGUCCAGACGGUUUACUACUGCUGGCCGCUCACCAUGGGCGCCGCUGGCAACGCCUCCGCGCCGGACAUGGAUGAUAACGUGCCGUGCGGGACCUCUGAUCCGAUGGAAUAGUUUCAUUCUUUAAUUUGUUGGUGUUCUUGUUUAAUUCUACUUUGCACAAUCAUCUGUGGAUCGGAUUUGGUUUGACACCAGCUGGUGUAUUUUGAAUAUGUAUUGAAUUUGCACUGUUAUGCAAAUUAAUUGUUGGUAUAGAGUGGCGAAGAUACUUUCUCUGCCCUUUUCGCCCUCCUUUACAAACUAAGGGAAUAUGGGUUGGUUUACAAAGCGGUAAUUAAGGUAGGCUUAUAUAAGUUUGCUUUCUCUUCCUUGAUCAUGACAUUCACGCCUUCUUCCUCUUCACCAUCCUUCCUUCCAUGCGUGGAUUCGAAGAGUGCAAGGAACAUAGCUCCAUUAGAUCAUAAUUGUGAUUUUGGUGAUUGUGUGACAACAUAGUCAAUGGGACUAACAAGUUUACGAGCUCAAGUUUGUAUGAUUUUUAGAUCCCAUGGAUGGAGUCCAAUCCAUAUACAAGAUGGUCCAAAUCGCUGUCAACAUGUCCAAACGACAGCCGAGAUGAUUUGGACAAGGUUCAGCAUGAUUACAUUAGUCGGUUAAACCGACGGCAUGAACUUAUAACAGGUUGGUGGUUUGGUGAGUUGAUAUGGCGAUCAAGUGAAGAAAUGGCAGAGGCACCGGUUAAACUGACAAUGUAAAAGAAGAUAACGGUGCAAGCGUGCUGUGGUUACUCAGUAUGCAUGAUUUGGUUCCAGAAGGAUUUCCGAGCAAAGUCUUCACCACUCGGCGCAUCACGUCGGUGCAAUGACGUCAGCACAGGAUGGCAAUUGGAGUUCAACGGCUAGUAGGCAGGCUAAGUAUGACCAGUUAAACUGACAGUGGCGACCGGUUUAAUCGAUGCUUUAUGCUUUUCUGGAUAAAAAUAAGCAACGGUCAUGAGCUGUCCUCUAGCCUAUAUAAGGCCUCACCCCGGAUCAUUUGAGGCAGCUAGAGUUCGUGAGAAGCUACAAAAACUCUGCUGAAGUUCUCCAAGCCAACCAAAAAGCUCAUUGAUCAAAUUAUUAGGUUUAACACAAGCUUUGGGUAGUGUAGUGCUAGGCUAGCUCUAGGAAGAGUGUGAGAGCAAGAUGUUGUGACCCUUUACUGGUUCUUGAGUGAACCUCAAAAUUGUAGCUCGGUGUGCCGGCCCCUUGGAGUCUUAUUGGCUCGCCGGCAAGUCAUUGACCCUUCGGCUUGGUGUGGAGCGGCGACGACUGCUUUGUGCAGGGGACGUGGAGACCCUCUUGUCGGUGUUUUACCGCCCGCCCACUAAAGGGUAUACCCGAGGUGUUGAGUUUUAGGUAGGGUGUCGCCGAGAUCAGGAACUCGAAGGUGCAAGCAACACGAGGUUUAGACAGUUUCGGGCCGCGAUGUGCGUAAUAUCCUGUGUCCUGUUUGGUGGUUUGUAUUGCUUUGGGUGUUGAUGUGUUUUGAGGGGGUCCCUGCCCACCCUUAUAUAUCCGGGAGGACAGGGUUACAUGAAUCCUAGUCCAACACUAGCUUACGAAUUUUACUUGAGUACACUCGAGUAGCUUCCUUCUGUAUCGACUAGUUCUACUUCGCAUGCGAGUAGAGUACAACACAGAUAAGGUAUAGGACAUGUCUUAUCCCCUAUUCUUGUAUGAACUACGUUAUAUACACAGUCUCAUAGUCCUGAGUCUGACAAGCCUCCGAGCUCUUCGUAGCUGAGUACUGCAGGCUCCUCGAGUACUUCCGAAGUAGUCUUUGUCUUCUUUUGAAGCUCCGUCUUGAAGUUUUUCUUCGAGUACUUCUUUGGCUGCAUCGAAGCUAUGAGGUGCUCAUGCUCCGAAUUACUUCUUUGGUAUGGGGUGCGAUGGAAAAUUGCACUCCAUAUAGAGUAGCCCCCGAACCUUAGGUUGAAUCGAAGAAUCAGGCUGAGGGUCACAUUAGUCUUGAAUCUUCCUUGCUUACUCUUCGAAUAUAUUCGAAAAAUAAGUAGUCGAUGCCACGUAUCCCGCAGCCCCCGAGUCUUGAAUCCAAAUCUCUCAGGUUUGGGAAAAAGGAUCCAAUGGUCGUGGCAUGCAGUGAAAAAAAUAUUCCCUUAGGAAAUAAUUGGUGUGAUGGUACAAAUGAUAGAGGUUAGAUUUGGAAUUCAAAAACCCCUUUUUUCGGGACAAUUAACCCUGAAAAAAUGGUUAAUCAAAUAAUUUCUCUAAAAGUCCACCAAAUAACCCCUCAUCUUCUGAAUAUGCCCUGUGACGACUUUUCAACUUCAGAACAGUAAACCUAUAUCCAGCCGCUGGUUAUUUAACCCCGCGGUAACUUAGGAUAAAACCUGUGCUUUCACUCUUGAAUCCGCCAAUCGAUGAGCUGCUAACUCUCAUAGCAGCCCAUAAGGAAAUGGGGGUGACCGGCGUGUCUGUAAUGUUGUCAUUUUUCAAACGCCGAAUCCAACCCAUCCAGCAACGCCAUACGUUAGGCUUCGAGUACAUGGGUACUAAAGACCCAUCUCGGAUGUGCGCAGAGGAAUUGACCGACGAUGCCGUGCUCAUCCAGGUCAAGCGGGUGCUGCUGGAUGUGAACACGGUUCCCUACAUCCCAGAGCUGUUCUCCGCACAAAAUCCUCCAGAGCCGGUAAGCUUUCAACUACUUGGAAUACUUUCUGUUGUUCUGGAACUUCCGCUAACUGAGAAUCCUUUGCAGGGACACACGGCGUUGUAUCAGAGUUAUCUGCCACAAUCCGAUGUCCCCCGACUGUACCACCUUCUCCCCAGCGCCGCAGCUGAAGCGAAAAGGGCUCAAUCGUCUGAUGAUCUGCCCAGCGGCGAGACAACCGAGAGCAAGAUCCCCCUGGUGGAUGUGACACCUCAGGUAUAUGGGAGCCAGUCUUAGUGCAUUGAGUGUAGGAUGUGCUCUUGUGUGCUAUUUAAGGACAAGAUUUUAGGGUGUUUGUCGGUGUUUUACCGGCUGCCCACCGAGGGAUAUACCCAAGGUGGUAAGUUUUGGGUGUGGAGACGCCGAGAUCAGGAACUCGAAGGUGCAAGGAACACAAGACUUAGACAGGUUCGGGCCGCACGGAGCGUAACACCCUACGUCCUGUAUGGUUUUGUAUUGCCUUUGGUGUAGAUUGACCUAAUGAUCUUCUGUUUUGAGGGGGGUCCCUGACCUCCCUUAUAUACCCGAGAGGCCAGAGUUACAAAGAUGCUAACCAACCCCACCGAGGGAUCAUACCAGAACAUAUCUCGAGUAGAUCCCCUCCGUGUUGGUUAGCUCUAUCUCCUAUCUAAACGGGAUAAACAAGAGAUAAACAAAAUGAAUAAGAGAUAAGACGAACUUAAUCUCUUAAACCUCUUUAAACUACGCUACGCGCCCAGCCCGGUAGCCCUGGGUCUGACAAGCCCCCGAGCUCUUCGUAGCUGAGAACUGCAGGCUUAUCGAGUACUUUCGAAGCAGUCUUCGACUUCUUCUGAAGCUUCGUCUUGAAGUCCUUCUUCGAGUACUUGCUUGGCUGCAUCGAAGCUAUGAGGUGCUCAUGCCCCGAAUUUUAUUCCUGCUAUGGUGUGCGAUUGAAAAAUCGCACUCCAUAUGGAGUAGCCUCCGAGCCUUAGGUUGAAUCGGAGAAUCAGACUGAGGGUCCCAUUAAUCUGCAAUCCUCCUUAUUCUUCAAAGAAAUUUGAAAAAUAAGUAGUCGAUGCCACGUAGCCCGCAGCCCCCGAGCCUUGAAUCCAAAUCCCACAAAAUUGGAGAUAAGGAUCCAAAAAAUCGUGGCAUACAGGCUAAACAAUGGCACCAUAAGAAGAGACCAAAGUGAUGAUGCAAAUGAUGAAAUUAGACCAAAAAUUCGAAAACCCCUUUUUUCGGGCUAAUAGCCCUGAAAAAAUGAUUAAUCAAAUAUUUAAUCCAAUCAAACCACCAAAUGACCCCUCACCUUCGGGCUAUUCCCAAGAACGACUCUUGAACUUCAAAACAGUAACUUUUCCCCACUCCGCUGGUUAUUUAACCCCGCGGCAACAGUAGGAAAAAACCACGCUUACAAUCCGCAUUCCGCCAAAAGCCACCAAAAUCCCCAAUCUGAGCCAAGCACCGCCGCCAUCCCCCCAAGGAGAUCCUCCUGCUCCAACCUCCCCGCCCCUCUCCCCGCAGCCCCCGAGCAUCUCGUGGCUAGCGCAUCGGAGAUGGCGUCCAAGAAGUUAGAGAUCGAGGAAAGGAAGAAGGAUGCGGAGCCAUCGACCGCGGAGUGGACACACAGUAAGUGCUCCCUCAACAAUCUGAACAAACUAGUCUCCGAGGGGUUGCUGCAAGACAAGAACCUUGUCAACUGGCGCCCCUCUUUCCGUGAACCUUUUCCCAUGGAGAAUGUCGACGAAAUCGUCACAUUCUUCCAUUUUGCCGAAAGGGGAUUGGCCCUCCCCACUUGUUCCUUCUUUCGCGGCCUUCUUUAUUAUUAUAGGAUUGAGCUCCAUCACCUCAACCCUAAUUCCAUUUGCCAUAUUUCCAUUUUCAUCCAUUUCUGCAAAGCAUUCCUCGGAAUCGAACCCCACUGGGAUCUAUUCCGCUACCUCUUCCGCGUCAAACCCCAGCCUACCACGAAGAAACUUGCCGUAGUAGGGGGCGCCGGCAUCCAACUGCGACAGCAGGCCGGCGAAAAAUACCUUGCGUACAAAUUCCCCUCAAACCUUCCUGGGUGGAAAAACCUAUGGUUUUACAUCGAAAACCAUGGUUCCCAACUGCCAACGAAGUCGAGCAGACCGCCUGUGGUGAGGGGGGAAUGGAACCUUGAGCCCUCCGGCAUGGAAAUGAUUCAAGUCAGAGAGCUGCUGGAGGCCAUCGAGGCACAGAAGAAGAAAGGAGUGACCGGCGCCUCCGUCAUGUUCUCAUUUUACAAACGCCGCGUCCAACCCAUCCAACAGCGCUGUUGCCUGGGCUUCGAGUACACAGGCCCCGCUGACCCUUCUCGCAUAUGCACAGAAGAGCUGCCAGAUGAAGUCGCACUCCAGCGAGUCCAGCGGGUGCUGCUAGACGUGGGCGCCGUGCCGUACGUGCCCACAUUGUACUCUGCACAAAAUCCGCCCACGCCGGUGAGUAUUCGACUUCUUGUUGCUGAAGGAACCUGCUAUUGCAUCAUUACGUGACUGAAGAAAUCUUCUGCAGGGACACACGGAGUUGUACUGCAGCUACCCGCCGCAACCAGACCUCCCCCGAGCAUAUCAUCUCCUCCCUUCCGCUGCUACUGUGGCCAAGAAGGCUCGCCUUGCUGCAAUUCAAGGCAGCAACGAGUCCGCCGCAUGCGUGGACUCGCAGGCGGGAGGAGGGGCCGAAGGAGAAGCGCGCCCUUCUGCCACUGCGGCCAAGACGGCUCGCCUUGCUGCAGCUCAAGGUAGCAGCAAGACCACCGACUGCGUGGACUCGCAGGCGGAAGAAGGGACCGAGGGAGAACCGGGCCGGGACAGCUGCUCCGACCAGAGCGUGGAGUUGGCCGGCGCUCUACCACCGGUGCCGAAGGGCCAACGACAAGUGCGCAAACGCAAGGCGCAAGAAGUCGAGUGCUCCAGGUAUUGAGUUGCUGUUUUGGCGAGCUGCUAAGUAUCAAUGGUGCUGAAUACUGACAGUAUCCUCUCGUAGUCUCCCUGCUCUGCCACCCGGGACCGAGCCCGAAGGGGUGGAAACAGGCCCAUCCGCCACCGCUGCAGUGACUAUUGCCGUGGCGGGGACCCCUCAAUCGGCCGACCAAGCCUCGCCACCAGCAACAGGUGUUCCUCGACGGGCCUGGCGGGUGAGGAAAGCCGCCAAAAAGAAGUCGACACUGUGAGUAUUCCUCCGGUCGCUUGAAGGUCGUGUCCUUUCCCACUUGUAUAACAGUGACUUCGACAUUAUCAGGGCUCCAAGCGCGGUGCAGCUUCGGCUGGGCCCGGGCGCGGCUACUGCGGCUCCAGAGCCAUCAACCCGAGCUGAACCUUCCGGUGCGGAACCAGCCCCAGCUGCUGCAGCCCCCGAGCCCUCGGCGCCUGGAGAACAAGUACUCGCGGAGCUGGCCCCUGAAGCAGGUGCGACGCUUCCCGACUUGCCGCCUCCCGAGCCCCGACAAGACGAAGCCGAAGCUGGUGGCGAAGAACAAGUCGAAACCCCUGCUGCCGCUCCUACUGAUGGCACAGGUACGCGCUUAUCUGCCCGCGGCUGGCUGCCGAGGUCUGGGCGCAAUAUAUUGACAACAUAAUGUUCUUGCAGGUGCCCAGCA
rnacentral:lncRNA from 1 species